GGACUGCAGUCUGCAACCCGACUGCACGAAGCUGGAAUCGCUAGUAAUCGCGGAUCAGCAUGCCGCGGUGAAUACGUUCCCGGGUCUUGUACACACCGCCCGUCACACCAUGGGAGCCGGAAAUGCCCGAAGCCUGUGACCCAACCCGCAAGGGGGGAGCAGUCGAAGGCGGGGCCGGUGACUGGGGUGAAGUCGUAACAAGGUAGC
rnacentral:rRNA from 1 species